GGGCAACGCUACUGGAAUGUGCGUUGCUUCAAAGGCUGCGUUUCGGCGUGGCGCUCUAGGAUGGGCCUGCGGCAGAUUAGGCAGUCGGUGAGAUAAUGGCUCACCAAACCUAUAAUCUGUACGGGCAAUGGGAGUUGUGGCCCGGAGAAGGGAACUGAGAUAAGGUCCCUAGCCCUACGGGGUGCAGCAGUUACGAAACCUUCGCAAUGCGCGAAAGCGUGACGAGGGGACUCCAAGUGCCUGCAUUUUAUGUAGGCUUUUCCUAAGUCUAAAUCGCUUGGGGAAUAAGGGCUGGGUAAGACUCGUGCCAGCCGCCGCGGUAAUACGAGCAGCCCAAGUGGUGUCCGUGGAUAUUGGGCUUAAAGCGUCCGUAGCCGGCUCGAUAAGUCCUUGGUGAAAGCCCAUCGCCUAACUUUGGGAAGUGCCAGGGAUACUAUUGAACUUGGAGGCGGGAGAGGUCAGAGGUAUUUCUAGAGUAGCGGUAAAAUGCUAUAAUCCUAGAAAGACCACCGGUAGCGAAGGCGUCUGACUGGAACGCGCUCGACGGUGAGGGACGAAGGCUAGGGUAGCGACAGGGAUUAGAUACCCCUUUAGUCCUAGCUGUAAAUUAUGCAGACUUGGUGUCAUGUGACCCACGAGGUUAUGUGGUGCCGAAGGGAAACCAAUAAGUCUGCCGCCUGGGAAGUAUGGUCGCAAGGCUGAAACUUUAAAGGAAUUGGCGGGGGAGCACCACAAGGCGUGAAGCUUGCGGUUCAAUUG
rnacentral:rRNA from 1 species